AUGGCGGGGAGCAAACCCGGGGCCGGCGGAUGCACGGAGCCGGGAGGCGGGUGCCCUGGCAACGGCGCCAUGGCAACAGCGCCAUGGCAACAGCGCCAUGGCAACGCGGCGAGCCGGCACCCGGCCGGGGGAUGCGCGAUGCGAUGCGCUGCGCUCCGGCCGCCAGCAGCGCGGGCCGGGGCCGGGCCGGGACUCAGCAGCUGCCAGGCUCCAGGGAGGCCCCAGCCACGCCGGAGUGAGCUCCGCGUUACGCCGGGAUACAGGUUCAUGCUGUUCCGCCCGGUGCUUGCGCGUCCCGGCUCCGCCGAUCCCGGGGCAGCUCCUCGGUGCUCUGCGUCGUGCGGCCGUGGCACGAAGGAUGAGGCCGAUGGGAGCGGGGAUGCAGGUGGCACUGGGGGACCGUGCCCCCAGGAACUCCCACCUGCUGCAGCAGCAGUCCUCGGAUGGAGCUGCACACCCACGUGUGGGCACGCACCCCGAGCACGCCCCGCGCUCCCUGCCUGGGCUCUCCAGCUCUUUCCAGCCCUGCUGAUGCCGCUGUUUCCUACCAUCACAAGCUCAUCCAAAUGUGUGAAGAGCCGUUUCAAGCUGCUCCUCCGCCCCCACCCCCCACCCCCGACCUCUGUUCCAUUGCCCUCAGCUAAGCUCAGCUCUGAGAUAGAAGAGAAGGAAGGGAGAGGGCUCAUCCCAAGCCAAACUCCAUCCUGCAGCCCUGGGAGAAUGAGCCAUGGUACAGCUGGUGGCAGCACAGGUGGCAAUAGAGGGAGCAGCACUGAUCCACACCAUUGUUCCUGUGCCAAGAACCAGACCCCCAGGGAAAUUGGGUCCAGAGUGCUACUGCUGCGGGGAAACUACAAUCCCUGCCCCAACGUGCUGCUGCUCACAGCGGGGUGCAGAGAGGAGGGACAGCACACAUCCAGCAGCCAACGACAGCAAAGGCAAAUCCCUCCCAGCAGUCUUGGUGGGGAAUGGACAAAGCUCUGCUUGGGAGCAAGCAGCAGAGAGGGGAUGUCAGGUCCCCUCUGCAGCCAGCUGCUUGCUUGCCAGCCCCACUGCCUGUGCAGCCCCAUCCCGAGUGGCUGCCUUGGGAAGAGAUGAGGUGGGAGGAGGAGAUGGCAGCCCCAGGCUCCCGAAAAGGCAGGAUGCAUUAGAACAAGCAGAGCUGCCUGAUUGAUUCUUCAGGCUGAGACGUGGGCUGGAAGUGCCAGGAGAAAAUGGAUCCUCUGAAUAUUUGAUGAACAGAGGCUCAAGGAGGGAGUUUGAUUGGAAAAUUACAGAUCUUUCAAACAAUGGUUCGAGUGCCCUCCAAACACUUGGGUUUCCAGCUCCCUUCCAGUUAGAGGAGCAAGGCUCCACUAGGAAACACCCACACGAUUUAUGAAUGAAGCAGAGCUCCCCACACCUGGCAGCACUCAACCCGCUGGGGCCAGCAGCCCAGCAGCUCCAGCACCGACCUGGGGACACGGAGCUCAGGUUCUGCCAUCACUGGGGUCACUACGGCUGCAUCACGUUGCUCCCCAGUCCUACGAGGCAUCCACAAUGCCAUGAACACCAGGGCACACGAGGCUUUAUGGAGUAUGUGGGGAUGUUGUUCACGUGCAGAAUCCUGCCCGGGCAUCCAGCCCAGAGCUCUGCUCUCUGUCCCCAGCCUCCAUCCAGCUCCUCUGCACCAGGAAGCACCUGACUAGAGCACAGCCAGUGCUGCUCCCCACCCAGACAGCAGCUCCAGGGCUGCUGAGGACUCAUCCUCAUCCCGAGACCGACUUCUGUCUGGGGCCCGAGGGGCUUGCUGCCUCACAGACGGGUGCAAGCAGUAAGUACAGACUCAGCUCAGGCUUCCUGAAUCCACCCCUGCCUGCAGCCCCGAGCUUUCCGCCCUCCAUCAGACCCCAUCCCUUGUGCACGUCCUUUCCCUUUCCCUUGCACAGGGGUAAGUGGCUAUUUCUGGCCGGGAAUGAGGAAUGCCAGCAGCAGUUUCCCAAGGAAACCCACUCUUGCUCCAGUUCCUCCCCUGCCUCGUGCACUUCUGGGCUGAACCCUGAGCCCCUGCUCCCCGGGUGCCACUGUGUGGCUGUCUGCAGUCAGGCGUUAUGGCUGCCUCCAUUGGGACCAGCGCUUCACUGGGUUUUGCAUCUCAACGAAGGCGCGUGGAGGGGAGAGCAGGACCCCAAAGGGAGUGCUCCAGGUGACCCCAAGGGCAGAAAUGUCCCUCCUCCCCCUCUAUGAGGCUCCUGUUCAGAGCUGGAGCAAUGGGGAGGGCAGGACCGGGAGAGCAGCUGGCUCCCAAGGAGAGCAGAAACAGCAAGGUGCAAAGAUAUCGGAGGGAGCUAUCAGCAGCCAGAACUGGAGAUGCUAAACCUGCAGCUGCACAACAGGACCACUAGCAGAAUGAGCAGAGGAGAUAAGAGCAGGCCUGAUGGGACCAGCAGAGCCUUUUAUAAGAGCACGAAGCUUUUAGCCAAACCUCCUUUGGCACCAGCAGCUCGUGGUGUCCAGCACCCUCCUGCUGCCAAAGCCGAGGGAAAGCAACAGCCAACCCCAGGAGCACGCUUCCCAGCACACAUCAGCAACCGCAGAGCCAGGCCUAUGUCUGGGGAGCAUUUUCCCAUGGGCCCUCACUGAUCCCAGGACUUUCCUAAGCCCCCAUCCCGAUGACAAGGGUCUGAAUUUUGCAGAGCGCACCUGACCCUUGGUGGAACCCUGUGCAGGAGCACUGGGGCUGCAGGUCUGUCCGUACACACAGGGAAAACAUGCUGGCAUUUCAACCACCACCAACUUUUGCACACGUAUUCCAGCCCAAAAUCUCAAGAUUUAUCUCCAUAAGAGCCAAAACCUGAGCGACCAGAAGGGGCUGCACCAAAACUGCCCAAACAGAAACAGUGCAUGCUCUGGUUCUGCUUUGCUGCUCAGCCCCACACUCGCCUCUCACCUCCAGGGCACAUUUCCCUGGUAGGGUUUGCAGUCACGAGAAGGAACGAUCUGGUAUUUCCAGCACACAAACAAAAGCCCCAACACAGCCCUGAAGGACUCCUUGUCCUGACAGCCAGCCAGUAAGGUCCAUCCCACAGCUCCCAGUGUGAGAGGGGCUCAGCAGGGAGGAGCAGUGCUGUCACAUUUGCUGUCACAAGGCCGGGAGCUGACCCCCUCCCCAUUUCCACCCCAGGCACUGAGCUCAGCUCUGCCAUCCCACCCAGGUCCCCAUUGGUGCCACUCAGCACAGGGAACCAGAGCCCAGCCCUGACAGGAGGAAACAAGCACCCCAAGCCCUCCAGCACCCCUGUGGGGCUCCCCCAAACUGGGAGCAAAUGGCAGAUGGCCAGGGCCUGUAGACUAUCCAGUGCUUCGUUAGCAGGCAGCUGGUUAAUCAGCACAGGGUGAGGUGCCCACAAGGAGCGGACGGUCGCUGGCCCCUGGGUUGGGCUGGAUGGGAGCCCCUGGAAAGACCUCAGUGCCAAAGCCAGGGGAUGCUGGAGGGAAGCAAAGGGAAGGGAACGAUGGGGCCACAGGGCCCCCGUCCUCAGCUCCGAUCCUGCCUGCACGUUCCAGCCGACCGGGGCAGGGCCCCACCGCAGCACACAAAGAAGGUCAGGGCGCCGGAGCAUUCCUCGGCUCCCGAGGGGCUGUCCCCGGCAGGACGGGAGGAGAAGCCCCCGCUCCCAGCCGGGCCCUUUGGCACCGCGUGUGCAGAGGGAGGGGUCCGCGGGCUCCCAGCCACCCACUCGCCCCCAGCUACGCGCAGCAGCAACAACAGGUUCAAAACAGAAAAAUAAACGCCCUUCCCACCCCA
ensembl:lncRNA